AAAGCAAGUCCCCAAAAAGCAAAAUCCUGCAUUUCCAUGGAUCUCAAUGCAGACAGUUUCUGUUGCCUUGAUAUGCAACUACCAGAGUCCCUCGGACAGAGCAGCAACUUAAGAAGUCAUCCCAGCUUCUGUGUGGAAGAGUGGAAGAAUCUAUGUGGAAGAAUCAGGAAGAGGUCUCACGUGCCUGUUCAGGAGGCAUUCUCAGCAGAUCUGAGAAGAUGCACAGAGACUUAGGUGAAGGAACAGUCAGCGAAAUCCACAUAGCACUGUUGACGGAGCUCAGCCGCAUUUCUGAGCCAAGCUGGAAUGAAGGAUGACCUGGAGACCCCAAGAAGAGCAAGCAGUCCCUGAGGAGGUUUUCCUGUUUUCACUGGUCCCCAGCUGUGGAAAGGUUGAAAACCACUGCUCUAGACAUGCACCAGUUUGUCAUCAUCCUUCUUGGAAUGUGAUCCCUUAGAAGUGGGUACAAUGUUCCAGCUGCAUCCUGACUUUGUAUUAUUCAUUGAAGAAGACAUUGGAUGAGGAAAGAAGCUAUUGGACAGGUCGCUUUGAGUUUCUUGUAAGAAAAAAGUGGGAUAUAAAUCUAAAGAACAAGCACACAAUAAAAG